AAAAAUAUUUAAAAGUCACACUUUCGCUUCCCAACAAAAUUAAUCAGAAUUUCUUAAAAGUCACAAUUUUGACUUUUGAUCUUCUUCACAGCCUUGUACAAAGUCUCCUCGUUUUUCCGUGGUUCCACCAGAGAUUAUUACAACCACAAUAGUCGGCUUUAAUAAUCGAUUCUACCCCUAUUGUAAUCGCACCUCUUUCGAUUCUUGUUUUCAACAUACGGCUUUGAUGGUGUUAACAACAAACCGUAGCCCUAAUUUCAAACGUAAGGCUUCGACGAUCUGGGUUUCGCCGUCUGCAAAUCAACGAAAUCCUCUCUUCUUCGGAAUAUCAUUUUGGAACCGGUAAGCGUUAUUUAUUUUGCAAAUUUAGGGUUACUAAAAUUGCAAUCAAUGAUCGAUGCUAUAAAUUGGUUCGAUUAACAUGGAAUACGGGUUGGUUGUGAGGGUCGGAAGAAUUAGGAAAAGAGACGAAAUCGAAGAUCGAAUUAGAAGGUCUGAUUCUGUUCUAAAAUCCGCUCCAACAACGGAAAGGCUUCGGUCGUGAAGUUCGAAUUCGUAACAUCAGUGCGUUUAUGCAUAACGAAAAGGUGCCAUAAACCAUAUCGCACAUCAAAUCGUUUUGUUUUAGAAGCGUAUCGUCGAAUGGAUCUAUAUAUUUUAGAGGGAAAAAGUAAAAACACGGCCACAAAUUUUAUAUAUAAUAGAGAUGUCAGUUGUUUAUAGAAGCAUGCGAACGGUUACUUAUGGUUGAGCGUAGUAGGAACGCAACGGUUGGGCAUGGUAGGAAGUUUGGUUGGUAAAUAUAUAAGGGUAUAAUUGAAGAAUUAUAGUUUCGUCAACUCUUCAUUCUAUCACCAAUUUAAAGAUGGAUCGUACUUACUGGAUGUACCAUACCACACGUACAAGCUCGAUGUUUACGGAUGGCGUUCGAAAUUUUCUUAGGGUUGCCGAAACAAAUCGAUUGAAUAGUGGAAGUGGAUUGAUUUGUUGCCCUUGUACAAUUUGUAAAAAUUUCCAAAGAUUUAACGAUAUCAAAGACAUACAGUUUCAUUUGAAUACACGUGGUUUUAUGCCUA